AGUAACACGUGGGUAACGUACCUUGAGGAGAAGGACAGCUCACCGAAAGGUGGGGUAAUACUUCAUGAGCUCUUUUACCUGUGAUGGUUUAAGAGGAAAGAUGGCCUCUACUUGUAAGCUAUCACCUUAAGAACGGCCCGCGCUCUAUCAGGUAGUUGGUAGGGUAAUGGCCUACCAAGCCUUAGACGGAUAGCUGGCUUGAGAGAGUGGUCAGCCACAUCGGGACUGAGACACUGCCCGGACUCCUACGGGAGGCUGCAGUCGAGAAUCUUUCUCAAUGGGCGAAAGCCUGAAGACGCGACGCCGCGUGGGGGAUGAAGGUCUUCGGAUUGUAGACCCCUUUUAUCGGGGAGGAAUGUUGAACGGUGAACAAUCGUUCAGCUUGACUGUACUCGGUGAAUAAGCCACGGCUAACUCCGUGCCAGCAGCCGCGGUAAUACGGAGGUGGCGAGCGUUACUCGGUUUGACUGGGUGUAAAGGGUCCGUAGGCGGCCAUAUAAGUGUGAGGUGAAAUCCUUCGGCUUAACCGGAGAAUUGCCUUUCAAACUAUUUGGCUCGAGGAUGGGAGAAGAGAGCAGAACUGUCAGUGUAAGAGUGAAAUCUGUGGAUAUUGACAGGAAUGCCUGUGGUGUAGACGGCUCUCUAGUCCAUUCCUGACGCUGAGGGACGAAAGCUAGGGGAGCAAACAGGAUUAGAUACCCUGGUAGUCCUAGCUGUAAACGAUGGACACUAGGUGUCUGCUUUUUAAGUGGAUGCCGUAGGUAACCCGAUAAGUGUCCCACCUGGGGACUACGGUCGCAAGACUAAAACUCAAAGGAAUUGACGGGGGCCCGCACAAGCGGUGGAACACGUGGUUUAAUCGAUGCUACGCGAGGGACCUUACCAGGGUUUGACAUGUAGGAAGUAGUGCCCCGAAAGGGGUUACGACCAGUAUCCAAUCUGGAACUUACACAGGUGCUGCAUGGUUGUCGUCAGCUCGUGCCGUGAGGUGUUUCCUUAAGUGGAAGAACGAGCGCAACCCUCGCCCUUUGUUGCAACCUCGGCGAAAGUCGGGGGCACUCUAAGGGGACUGCCCGCGUUAAGUGGGAGGAAGGCGGGGACGACGUCAAAUCCGCAUGGCCCUUAUAUCCUGGGCUACACACGUGUUACAAUGCCUAUCACAGUGGGACGCCAAACCGUAAGGUGGAGCAAAUCUCAUAAAAAUAGGCCCAGUUCGGAUUGAGGGCUGCAACUCGUCCUCAUGAAGUUGGAAUCGCUAGUAAUGGCGUAUCAGCUACAAUGCCGUGAAUACGUUCCCGGGCCUUGUACACACCGCCCGUCAAGCGCUGAAAGUGGGGGGCACCCGAAGCUCAACCCUAGGUUGAUUCACGGUGAAUUCCAUGAUUGGCGCUAAGUCGGAACAAGGUA
rnacentral:rRNA from 1 species